UACGUAGGGCGCAAGCGUUGUCCGGAAUUAUUGGGCGUAAAGAGCUCGUAGGCGGUUUGUCGCGUCUGCUGUGAAAACUUCAGGCUCAACCUGGGGCUGGCAGUGGGUACGGGCAGACUAGAGUGCGGUAGGGGUGACUGGAAUUCCUGGUGUAGCGGUGGAAUGCGCAGAUAUCAGGAGGAACACCGAUGGCGAAGGCAGGUCACUGGGCCGCAACUGACGCUGAGGAGCGAAAGCAUGGGGAGCGAACAGGAUUAGAUACCCGGGUAGU
rnacentral:rRNA from 1 species